CCGCGGUAUCCUAACCGUGCGAAGGUAGCGUAAUCACUUGUUCUUUAAAUGAGGACUAGUAUGAAUGGCACCACGAGGGUUAAGCUGUCUCCUUUUUCUAAUCAGUGAAACUAAUCUCCCCGUGAAGAAGCGGGGAUCACCCUAUAAGACGAGAAGACCCUAUGGAGCUUAAAACAAAUUAACACCUGCUUCUAUCCACUCUCCUUCCUGAGUUAACACAUAAAAUAUAGCACCCUUGAUUAAUAGUUUUCGAUUGGGGUGAUCAUGGAGCAAAAACCAACCUCCACGACGAAAAGGAGCACUUCCCUGAGCUAAAAGCUACAACUUUAAGCACUAAAAAAUUAACGCACUUUGACCCAAAUUUUUGAGCAACGAACCAAGUUACCCUAGGGAUAACAGCGCAAUCCAUUUCAAGAGCCCCUAUCGACAAGUGGGUUUACGACCUCGAUGUUGGAUCAGGGUAUCCUAGUGGUGCAGCCGCUACUAACGGUUCGUUUGUUCAACGAUUAAAACCCUACGUGAUCUGAGUUCAGACCGGA
rnacentral:rRNA from 1 species